rnacentral:lncRNA from 1 species
GGAGACUGCAGCAGCAUAAGCUCCCGCUGACCAAGGCCACUGCCCAGCGACCUGCUCCCACCUAUCUGCCACAAAGGCCAAAGCUCAGCUUCCAAUGUGGCUCGUUCCUGGAGGAGGCCAGCUGACCGCUUGGUGGCAAAUAGGCCACACUGAGCUCCUUCCAUCCUGGAAAGGCCAGCAGCUCACUUGGAGGGGAAGAUAUUCCAAGCCUGGGUUUGCCUUUCCCACCCGCCUACCCAACCUCCACCAGCAACACGGUCUGCGAUCUCCCCUGUGUUUCAUCCCCUGACUCGGGCCCCCUCUGACCAUCACAGCAGAGGAGGUGGGGCAGGCCCACAAGCACAGGCCUCGGGCCAGAUCACACGACACCCACUCGGAAACUGGAGUCAACAGAGAGCCGCAGCUGCUCGUACCGGGCAAGUCUCUGCGGGGUGGGACCCUGUCCCAGGACGCAGGAUUGGCGCUGAGCUCGGGAUCUCUGUGUGCACCUGCAUCGCUGAUCUGGAAACUGGACGGCCCCAAACUGAGUCCAAGUCCUGCAUCUGCCAGUCGUGUGAACUUGGGCAUGAGAACGCCCUUCUCUCUGCAAGAAGAUGCCCGCCCUUACCAAGGUGACUUCCAAGGACUUCAGGAACCUGAAACCUCGUCCUUGAUCGACUCGUGGUGUUGAAGGCCCUGCCAAAGCCAGCCUGGCACUGCUCUCUGGGAUGGAGACGGGAGAUGGCAUUCCGGGUCUAAAUUCUCGUGGGUGGUUCUCAGCUGUCAGGAGGUGCCAGGCUUACCUGCCAGGACCGUGGUUUUCUGUCAUUGUAACUGUGGGAAUGGCUAAGUCCUGUCUAUGACAGUCACACGAAAUAAAGUGUUCUGUGCUCCAGG